GGGGUUGUGGCUCAGUGGUAGAGCACUCACCUAGCGUGUGUGAGGCACUGGGUUCAAUCCUCAGCACCA
rnacentral:tRNA from 1 species